UUAUGUGAUCGUCUCUCGCAUAUCCAAUAAGCGGAGGAAAAGAAACUAACAAGGAUUCCCCUAGUAACGGCGAGUGAAGCGGGAAGAGCUCAAAUUUGAAAUCUUAAAGGGUUUCCCUUUACGAAUUGUAGUUUAAAGAAGUGUUUUCUGUUGAGGUUUUGGUAAAAGUUCUUUGGAAUAGGACAUCAUAGAGGGUGAGAAUCCCGUAUUUGACCUUUACUUUCAACUUUGUGAUACACUUUCAAAGAGUCGGAUUGUUUGGGAAUGCAGUCCAAAAUGGGUGGUAAAUUUCAUCUAAAGCUAAAUAUUGGCGAGAGACCGAUAGCGAACAAGUACCGUGAGGGAAAGAUGAAAAGAACUUUGAAAAGAGAGUUAAACAGUACGUGAAAUUGUCAAAAGGGAAGCGUUUGACACCAGUGUUGUUUUUCUGAAAAUCAAUUAAAGAACUGUUUAUGCUAAGCUGUUUAGACUUUAUCAGCUAACUGUUUAGUUUUGAGCUUUUCUUUAAUGCACUUUUCAGUUAACAAGUCAACAUCAAUUUCUUUUGCUGUAAAAAAGCUUGAGGAAGGUGGCUUGAGAUUCGUCUUAAGUGUUUAUAGCCUCUUGCCUAUGCAGUCGGAGAGAUUGAGGUCUGCAGCGUAGAUCCUUCGGGGCUAAAUGCAUUUGUGCUAAGUUAUAGCAUUUUAUAGACAACUUGUUGACUAUGAUUUGUCUUGUAGCUUACUCGCUUAUGUUAUUUUACCUACGCUUAGGAUGUUGAGUAGCGACAUACGCAC
rnacentral:rRNA from 1 species